rnacentral:misc_RNA from 1 species
UCCGAGUUGACCCCGGCAGUCUCCCAUGAGUCCCCAGCCACCCGAAGGCGCUGCUGGCAACAUGGAACGAGGGUUGCGCUCGUUGCGGGACUUAACCCAACAUCUCACGACACGAGCUGACGACAGCCAUGCACCACCUGUACACGAGUAUCAAAGAGACCCCCAUCUCUACGGCUUUUCCUGCGUAGUUCAACCCAGGUAAGGUUCUUCGCGUUGCAUCGAAUUAAACCACAUGCUCCGCUGCUUGUGUGGGGCCCCGUCAAUUCCUUUGAGUUUUAGCCUUGCGGCCGUACUCCCCAGGCGGGGUGCUUAAUGCGUUAGCUACGGCACGGAAGGAGUCGACACCUCCCACACCUAGCACCCAUCGUUUACGGCGUGGACUAC